GGGGGAUAACGUAGCGAAAGUUGCGCUAAUACCGCAUAUUCUGUGAGCAGGAAAGCAGGGGACCGCAAGGCCUUGCGCUCUUUGAGCGGCCGAUGUCAGAUUAGCUAGUUGGUGAGGUAAAGGCUUACCAAGGCGACGAUCUGUAGCGGGUCUGAGAGGAUGAUCCGCCACACUGGAACUGAGACACGGUCCAGACUCCUACGGGAGUCAGCAGUGGGGAAUUUUGGACAAUGGGGGCAACCCUGAUCCAGCCAUGCCGCGUGAGUGAAGAAGGCCUUCGGGUUGUAAAGCUCUUUCGGCCGGGAAGAAAUCGCAUGGGCCAAUACCCUGUGUGGAUGACGGUACCGGAAUAAGAAGCACCGGCUAACUACGUGCCAGCAGCCGCGGUAAUACGUAGGGUGCGAGCGUUAAUCGGAAUUACUGGGCGUAAAGCGUGCGCAGGCGGUUUUGUAAGACAGGCGUGAAAUCCCCGGGCUUAACCUGGGAACUGCGUUUGUGACUGCAAGGUUAGAGUACGGCAGAGGGGGGUGGAAUUCCACGUGUAGCAGUGAAAUGCGUAGAGAUGUGGAGGAACACCAAUGGCUAAGGCAGCCCCCUGGGUCGAUACUGACGCUCAUGCACGAAAGCGUGGGUAGCAAACAGGAUUAGAUACCCUGGUAGUCCACGCCCUAAACUAUGUCAACUAGGUGUUGGGUGGGUAAAACCAUUUAGUACCGUAGCUAACGCGUGAAGUUGACCGCCUGGGGAGUACGGCCGCAAGGUUAAAACUCAAAGGAAUUGACGGGGACCCGCACAAGCGGUGGAUGAUGUGGAUUAAUUCGAUGCAACGCGAAAAACCUUACCUACCCUUGACAUGCCAGGAACUUGCCAGAGAUGGCUUGGUGCCCGAAAGGGAGCCUGGACACAGGUGCUGCAUGGCUGUCGUCAGCUCGUGUCGUGAGAUGUUGGGUUAAGUCCCGCAACGAGCGCAACCCUUGUCGUUAAUUGCCAUCAUUUAGUUGGGCACUUUAACGAGACUGCCGGUGACAAACCGGAGGAAGGUGGGGAUGACGUCAAGUCCUCAUGGCCCUUAUGGGUAGGGCUUCACACGUCAUACAAUGGUCGGUACAAAGGGUUGCCAAGCCGCGAGCGGAGCCAAUCCCAGAAAGCCGAUCGUAGUCCGGAUUGCAGGCUGCAACUCGCCUGCAUGAAGUCGGAAUCGCUAGUAAUCGUGGAUCAGCAUGUCACGGUGAAUACUUUCCCGGGUCUUGUACACACCGCCCGUCACACCAUGGGAGCGGGUUCCGCCAGAAGUAGGUAGCCUAACCGCAAGGGGGGCGCUUACCACGGCGGGGUUCGUGACAGGGGUGAAGUCGUAACAAGGUA
rnacentral:rRNA from 1 species